GAGGAUGAGAUUGAGAGAGAGGAUAAGAGGGGAGGAUGAGAGGGAUGAGUAACAAAAGUGAAAACAAUUUUAAAUAGAUUUCAGUUUUUAGAUUUUGUUUUCACUUUUAUUACACAUCCCUCCCAUCUUCUCCUCUUAUCUUCCCUCUCAAUCCCAUAACCA
rnacentral:miRNA from 1 species